CAGCUAGCGACACGGUGACUUUAUUCACCCGCUUCGGCUGUUAUCAGUCCAUACAAUGGGCGUUAUUAGCAGAAAUCAGUCCCAUAGAUAUGGGCCAUCUCCUGCUAGAUUGUUCAGAAGCUUGUUCUCAUCCAUCCAGAUGGAGGAUCACUAACAGGAGCGUCUCCAGAAUCCACUCUGGCUGGAAUCCGGUGGAUACAGCAGUGUUACAGGUUAAUACACGAUACUGAUCCCUGAUGGGAGAAUCAUAACCUCUGCCAACAAAGAAGCCUGGUGGAUAUUUGUUUGCAGUCUGAUGAUGGGACACCAUGCUCUGCAUCUUCAAAGUUUGUCUCUUGAUUAUUAUUCAUACACAGUAAUGUGAAGCAUGCUCAUAUCUAGUAUAACUGGACCAACCUGGUGCUCUUCAUUUAUGGAGGCUGUUGAGUCUGAAUGUUGGAUGUUGUGUAUCUCGUGUUCUCUGGGCUUUGUUGUCCUCAGUCUUUUUGCAGGAUCAGAAAACAAAACCAGGAUGACCGUAAAUGUUUCUUCUCCAAUUGGAUGAUGAUAAGACUGUGACACGGGAUGCCACCUUUAGUCUUGUGAUGAAGCAAAGCUCAGGAAGAAGUGUGAUUAAAUGGUACCCACAUGUGUGCUGCUGAGAAGGAUGUACAGGGGCACCUGCAGCCAAAUCCAAGCCUCCUCAGCAACUUCAGGUCUGUCAGCGUGCUGAGGUCACAGAAACAAGAAAAGCAGCUUCAGACUUCAGAGUGUUGUUUACAGUUUUCUGUCAUCAUGAUCUCCCCUGAAGUUUAUCACUAUUAGGCAAGCAAGCAGAGCGGCAGUUUGUGCUCACAGAUGGUGACGGUGUGGAGAGACGGUGGUGUUUCCUCAGAAGAACUAGCAGAGUCACAAAGGGCACGAGUCUUUCUCACCACCUUGACUUGUUGAUCAGUGGAUACACUUGUCUCCCCUUUAAAGAAGAUACUCUUAGAGAGAGACGAUCAGAGUCAUCCUUAAAUAUGGGAAGGAUAUCACUAUUAGACUGUCUAACCUGCAGGAGCAGCACUGAAUGAUCACCACACAUGAUCAGUUCCUGCAACAUUCAGCAUCUGAUCUGCCAUCUGUGUGCUUCUGCUUUUGUGUCAAAUGUCAAACAGCUGGAGAGGAAACUACACCAGUGUACUGGGAUGUUUCAGCAACACGUGCCAGACGCUGUUCCUUCAUGGUGACAUCACCAGAGACGGCCCCGCCCACCUCAUGACCUCGCCAUUGAUCAUGAUGAUUUUAAUGAUGACAGCGAGCGGAACUAAGACUGUAAAAAUCAGAAUGUUUAGAUGCUUUCUAUUUAUUCAUGAAUACUGAGAGCCUCUUUCUGUGUUUUGUCUGUUUUGUUUUUUUUUACCUCAUUUGUUACUAACAAAGUUCACCAAACUCACACAGUUUACAUUCUGUAUGUUUCCAUCUUUACCAGCCACAGUCUACCUGCAAUUAAGAAAAUAAUCCUUACAAAUUGUCGUUUUUCUCUUUUGUAAUUUUGUAAUUCAGUGAAUAUACUGCGCUGCGUCUCACAUUGCUUUAAGUUUUUCCAGUGUCCAGUUAUUUUUUACUGUUGUUUGAACUCUCUGCAUGUUUGACCCUGUAGACUGUUUGAUGGACUGCUUGUCUUCCUGUUUGUAACCGCCGCCUGUUUUUGACUAAAGAUUUGGAUUUCUG
ensembl:lncRNA